GUGCUGUCUUCAGCAGCACAUAUACUAAAAUUGGAACAAUGCAGAGCAGAUGAGCAUGGCCCCUGCACAAGGAUGAGACACAAAUUUGUGAAGUGUUAAAAAAAAAA